CGAAAUCGGUAGACGCUACGGACUUAAUUAAAUUGAGCCUUGGUUAAGAAAUUAACCAAGUGAUUGUUUCCAUAUUCAGGGAAACCUGGGUUGUCAAAAAACAUAUUAGGUAAUCCUGAGCCAAAUUUUGUUCAUAAAAUAGGUGCAGAGACUCAAAGGGAACUAUCCCAAUAAAAAGUCUAAUAUUUGUAGAUAAAUACAGAUAUAAUUUUUUCGUCAUUUUAAACCGGGAUAAAGAUAGAGUCCAUUUCUACAUGCUAUAUUUGAUUGGCAAAGAUGUGAAUCAUUGUAGAAAGAAAAUCCGUUGGCUUUUUAGACCGUGAGGGUUCAAGUCCC
rnacentral:tRNA from 1 species